rnacentral:rRNA from 1 species
CGGCCAGACUCCUACGGGAGGCAGCAGUGAGGAAUAUUGGUCAAUGGGCGCGAGCCUGAACCAGCCAAGUCGCGUGAGGGAGGACGGCCCUACGGGUUGUAAACCUCUUUUGCCGGGGAGCAACGGGCGUCACGUGUGGCGCCACUGAGAGUACCCGGAGAAAAAGCAUCGGCUAACUCCGUGCCAGCAGCCGCGGUAAUACGGAAGGUCCGGGCGUUAUCCGGAUUUAUUGGGUUUAAAGGGAGCGUAGGCCGGCUUUUAAGUCAGCUGUGAAAGUCCGCGGCUCAACCGUGGAAUUGCAGUUGAAACUGGAGGCCUUGAGUGCACACAGGGAUGCCGGAAUUCAUGGUGUAGCGGUGAAAUGCUUAGAUAUCAUGAAGAACUCCGAUCGCGAAGGCAAGUGUCCGGGGUGCAACUGACGCUGAGGCUCGAAAGUGCGGGUAUCAAACAGGAUUAGAUACCCGCGUA